CCUGUGAGAAGUCUGGAGGAGGGAACAGUGGUAUCCCCCAAGGAUGGGCUUUCCGGGCCUCUUCCAGAGCAGUCCAGGUUUGUGAAUCAAUGCCGGGGGUGGGCCCAGGAUAGUUUUCCUUUCCCCACGGAGGCCAUGAUUAAGAAGGCAUCUGUCUGUCAACAGAGGCUUUCAGCUGUAUUUCCAGCCCAGCUUCCUCCCGACUGACUCAUCCGGUGAUGCCACAAUCUAAUGUUUAUGACCUAACAGUCGAUCACCAUGGAAGUAGCACAAACCUUAGACUGUUGAGGAGCAAAACCAGCGUCGAGAUGCUGGACGGUUUAGGAAAAGAAAACAGAAGCCCCUUAUUCGUCGAGACCGCAUGUUAGGACUGAACACCCGAUUCCUCAUGUGGGUACUUCCAUCGGUUGCUAAAACUGAUACUUGGAUGCCUUCGUGCCUACUGGAGAACCCAAAUAAGGACUCAGGGUGACCAAGUACAAACAAAUGCCACGGCAUUUAGAACUGAAGAGCGAGAAGCAGAAGGGAAAAUGUGAAAAGAAGGCAGAAGAGGGCCAGUGAGAGCUGGCCAAUGAGAAGGCGGCCACAGUGGUGGCCUCUACUGGCAGUCGGGAGAUGGUCAGAUGCCAUUUUUCACAAAAAAAAGAGAAGCUAUUCUAGGUACCACCAGUUGAAAUGUGUGCUACGCUGGAGGAAGAAGUCUGAGUUGCCUACAAAUUGCCCAGCUAUUUCGGGGGAUUUUUUUUAUCGCCAUGUUGGUCUCAUUUUCCCAUGGAGGCCUUGGUGACAAAAGCAGGCAGUGGGGUAUAUUGCUAACAUGGCUGUGCCUUUGACCAGAUCACUUCACCUCCAGGGAUUUCAGAUUCUUUCUUUGUAAAAUGAACAUUGGGAUGUGAUGAUUUCCCAGAUCUCUCCCGGUUCCUGAGACUAAAGUCUGCAGGCUAGUUUGAUCACAUGCCUCCAUCACUAAAAUACAUUUGACUAUCUACCCA